CAACGCUGGCAGCACUGAAAAUUUAAACGGAGAAUCGAUCUACGAUACCCCCCAAUCCGACUCUAUGCGCACCGACUGACACAAUCCAUGCGCAAGAUCCGAUGCGUAUCGAAUGUCAGGAUAAAUGUCACUACGGCGAGAGAGUCAAGUAUUUAGCAAGUCAUGUGAACUAGUAAUCGUUCGAGAAGAAUCUACUCCGUGAAUUAAUAUUGAAUUAUCAACCCUUCUUUGUACCUUUCGAAACUAAAUUAGAUAGAAUUCAGUUCCUACCAUUGUUAACACAAUUCGUACCUCUCGGAUAAUCUGUGAAUCUACGGUCGCAAAUCACCACUGUUUGUUGGUAAGAUCCCGUAUCCCUGGGAAGAAUAGUUUGAACGCUGAAACCAAUCUGUUGGGGUCAAAAUACAAAGGAGACCAGUUUGUAAGUAACGAACCACAUAGUUUAUAUCUCCCAAUAACUAAUAAAAGCAUUUCCAGCUUAAAGAAUUCGGCACCGAAUAACAUAGUGCGAUUCUCUUGAGACCUCCGAAACAUCUACCCAACAGAAGCUUUAAGAAACUGCUUCGAUCACCAGGAGUAAGGAUGCCCGAAACGGAUCGGUUCGACUGCAAACUUUGCCGGAGGUCGAACAAUGUGGACGAUAUGGUCUUUUGCGCGGUGUACCAGGAGUGGUAUCACUAUCAGUGCGUGGGAGUGACGUCUGCGGUAGCCAACGAGAGCUGGAUGUGCGCACGUUGUUCGGCUUUGCCAUCGUCUACGCGGAUCGGCGAGCUGUUCGGAAGUGAUCCUGUAUUUCCAGCUACUGGCAUCAACGUUCCAUCACCUAGGACCACCGAACCACCGUCGGCCGUUGCUCCAACUUCCUCCGUGGUAUCA